rnacentral:rRNA from 1 species
GACGAACGCUGGCGGCGUGCCUAAUACAUGCAAGUUGAGCGCUGAAGGUUGGUACUUGUACCAACUGGAUGAGCAGCGAACGGGUGAGUAACGCGUGGGGAAUCUGCCUUUGAGCGGGGGACAACAUUUGGAAACGAAUGCUAAUACCGCAUAAAAACUUUAAACACAAGUUUUAAGUUUGAAAGAUGCAAUUGCAUCACUCAAAGAUGAUCCCGCGUUGUAUUAGCUAGUUGGUGAGGUAAAGGCUCACCAAGGCGAUGAUACAUAGCCGACCUGAGAGGGUGAUCGGCCACAUUGGGACUGAGACACGGCCCAAACUCCUACGGGAGGCAGCAGUAGGGAAUCUUCGGCAAUGGACGAAAGUCUGACCGAGAAACGCCGAGUGAGGGAAGAAGGUUUUCGGAUCGUAAAACUCUGUUGGUAGAGAAGAACGUUGGUGAGAGUGGAAAGCUCAUCAAGUGACGGUAACUACCCAGAAAGGGACGGCUAACUACGUG